rnacentral:rRNA from 1 species
ACGGGGUGCAGCAGGCGCGAAACCUCCGCAAUGUGAGAAAUCGCGACGGGGGGAUCCCAAGUGCCAUUCUUAACGGGAUGGCUUUUCAUUAGUGUAAAGAGCUUUUGGAAUAAGAGCUGGGCAAGACCGGUGCCAGCCGCCGCGGUAACACCGGCAGCUCUAGUGGUAGCAAUUUUUAUUGGGCCUAAAGCGUCCGUAGCCGGUUUAAUAAGUCUCUGGUGAAAUCCUGCAGCUUAACUGUGGGAAUUGCUGGAGAUACUAUUAGACUUGAGAUCGGGAGAGGUUAGAGGUACUCCCAGGGUAGAGGUGAAAUUCUGUAAUCCUGGGAGGACCGCCUGUUGCGAAGGCGUCUGACUGGAACGGUUCUGACGGUGAGGGACGAAAGUUAGGGGCGCGAACGGGAUUAGAUACCCCGGUAGUCCUGGCCGUAAACGAUGAAUGCUAGGUGUAGGAGGUAUCGACCCCUCCUGUGCCGGAGUUAACGCAAUAAGCAUUCCGCCUGGGAGUACGGCCGCAAGGCUGAAACUCAAAGGAAUUGGCGGGGGAGCAC